rnacentral:rRNA from 1 species
CAGCGCCGCGGUAAGACAGAGGAUGCAAGCGUUAUCCGGAAUGAUUGGGCGUAAAGCGUCUGUAGGUGGCUUUUCAAGUCCGCCAUCAAAUCCCCGGGCUCAACCCUGGACAGGCAGUGGAAACUACCAAGCUGGAGUACGGUAGGGGCAGAGGGAAUUUCCGGUGGAGAGGUGAAAUGCGUUGAGAUUGGAAAGAACACCAACGGUGAAAGCGCUCUGCUGGGCCGACACUGACACUGAGAGACGAAAUCUAGGGGAGCAAAUGGGAUUAGAGACCCCCGUAGUCCCUGUCUCUUAUACC